rnacentral:tRNA from 1 species
AAAUAAGAACUGAUUUAUCAUAUAUGAUUUCGGCUCAUACCUAGAUGUUCUUACAUCCUUAUUUU